rnacentral:rRNA from 1 species
CCUACGGGCGGCACCAGUGGGGAAUAUUGCACAAUGGGCGCAAGCCUGAUGCAGCCAUGCCGCGUGUGUGAAGAAGGCCUUCGGGUUGUAAAGCACUUUCAGCGGGGAGGAAGGCGUUAAGGUUAAUAACCUCAUCGAUUGACGUUACCCGCAGAAGAAGCACCGGCUAACUCCGUGCCAGCAGCCGCGGUAAUACGGAGGGUGCAAGCGUUAAUCAGAAUUACUGGGCGUAAAGCGCACGCAGGCGGUCUGUCAAGUCGGAUGUGAAAUCCCCGGGCUCAACCUGGGAACUGCAUUCGAAACUGGCAGGCUAGAGUCUUGUAGAGGGGGGUAGAAUUCCAGGUGUAGCGGUGAAAUGCGUAGAGAUCUGGAGGAGUACCGGUGGCGAAGGCGGCCCCCUGGACAAAGACUGACGCUCAGGUGCGAAAGCGUGGGGAGCAUACAGGAUUAGAUACCCCCGUAGUC